UACGGGGGGGGCAAGCGUUGUUCGGAAUUACUGGGCGUAAAGGGCUCGUAGGCGGCCAACUAAGUCAGACGUGAAAUCCCUCGGCUUAACCGGGGAACUGCGUCUGAUACUGGAUGGCUUGAGGUUGGGAGAGGGAUGCGGAAUUCCAGGUGUAGCGGUGAAAUGCGUAGAUAUCUGGAGGAACACCGGUGGCGAAGGCGGCAUCCUGGACCGGCACUGACACUGAGGAGCGAAAGCCAGGGGAGCAAACGGG
rnacentral:rRNA from 1 species